UAUUGGAUGCGUCUUUAAGGACAUUAACCGGAUGUCCCAGCUUUGGCACUGAUCAACAAGGGAGCAAAGGGUGACUGCAGUCGUUCCUGUGAUGCUGGGACAGCACUGUGUGUCUGCAAUAAUGCUGCACAACUGUACCAGACAGGACAAAACUUGCACCUUGGCAUCAGUAAAGUUCCUCCAGUUUAUAGCUGUACUGAAAGAAAACAGAGCUGGAACAAACCUACAAUGGAGUACCCUUAACAGAGGUGUCACCAGCCUGCUGUCCACCAGGUGUCUGCUUGAUUGUCCAUAACGAACAUUGAGGGUUUACACACACACAGUGUUAUACAGGAAAUGUUUAAUACUAUAUAAAAGUUACUUAUAUAGGGCUCGACAUUAAGCCUUGACAUGUGCUUGUCGGACAAGUAAAUCAGUCAUUCACUUCUCAGAGUAAAAAAACAAACAACAACAAAAAACUUUUUUAUUUUUUUUUUAUGUAGACUAAAUGUAAUUUAUUCUGCAGCAAUAAUCUCAUCAGUGCUCUAUCAGGUCUUACUUUAAUCAGCAUAUUUGUGAGAUUUUCCUUAAUUUGAUUUCUAGGACACUUUUUAACUUUAUAAACGGCGUUUUCCUAACAUUAUAAAAUGUACAUGUCAUCAUUUAAUUCAAAUUCUUAAAUUUCAUUAAAACAUUCAGUUAGAAUAAAAAGACACUGUAUGGUUGUUAGCAUUCAGAUGAAAUCAGUACAACAAACUCCAUCUUUCCAAAGAAGAGGAAACACAGAAGCUGCAUCCAAAUUGCCAUUUAGAUGCAUUUACUCAGACUGUUUAAAAAAGAUAAGAGGUUCCAUAAAUGCAUUUACACAGUAAAAUUGCAAAUGCAUAAAUAAUAUUAUGCUUUACUUUUUAAACAUACAAAUAUGAAAUGUUGGAAAAAAUGCAAUUAUACUUUUAAAUAUGAAACCAGUUUACCAGUAGGCGGCGGCAAGUCGCUAUCCAAAUGAGUGAGACAUUGAUUCAACCAAUUCGUUCAAACGGCUGAUUCAGUCAAUAAAUGAAGCAAGUAACUGUCUUUAUGAAUGGCUCACUGAAUCAUUCAGUAACGAAACACUAUUGUAUGUUGCUCGGAGACACACAACAGUUCUGCUGUGGCUUUUAGAACUAUUUUUGUUUGUGAAAUGCAGAAAAAACGAUCAACAAUAUGUCCAAAAUGUAAAUCAGUUAAUAUUAACUAGCCUUCUUGUUUAUUUAACUACUGUUGCAUAAAAUAAAUGUCACAUUUUCAAUUGUGCUGUCGGGGAAACAUCACUCUUGGUCGUGUGAUGUUGCUUAUUAGGCUACUUAUAUCAUAUACUAUAUAGAAUAUUUUUUUCUACUGUUUGUUCAUGUGUGUUUCUUUGUGUGUACUGUUGCACCUAUUCUUUUUGAUUCCUCUGCGAGUCAAGACAAGCUGCGCCUAUGUGAGCCUCAACUGAUUCGACCUUACUGUCAAUACAUUAUCCGUUAUCAGUCACUGUUUCCACUGAAAGUAAUAAAAUUACAACCAUUCGGUGCUACCCUAGUUGUCCGGUCGGGCAAUUAAAAUUCUCUUUCACUUGCCCCUUCACAGGAUCCACUGGUCCCUGACUAGUGGACAAGCAUUAAUGUCCAGCCCUGUAACAAAGUACUUUUUAUUUAAUUAUUUUUGCAUUACCAAAGUGCAGGUAUCUAAGUCAUAUACAUAUGUUUACACUACUGCAGUGCAGGUAACACUGUAUCAAAGUUCUUUACAUGUUUACAUUGUUUACAUUUGUACAAAUAAAUUCAAAUUUAUCCUUCCACAAUUUCUAUAUCAAAUAUUAUUUUAAUUAAUAUGUGUUUUCUAUUGUUGUGAAUUGUUAUUAUUGAAGAGUGUGAGUAGCCAAGGGUAGGCUAUAAAUGAAGUCACUUUGCUUGUAUGAAGGGUGUUAUUCUAAAAAGGAGUAGAUUCUACUGGAAUAAGCUGGGUAAUUAAUAGCCCCUUUAGCACUAAGAUGUUAUAUAGUUUUAUGUUUAUAGCAAUAGCCUACUUAUUUAGAAAAUAUUUAUUUGAUCCUAAACCACAAAACCAGUAAGGGUCAUUAAAAAAUAAAUAAAUAAAUAAAUAAAAAAUGAGAUUUAUACAUCAACUAAAAGCUGAAUAAAUAAGCUUUCCAUUGAUGUAUGGUUUAUUGGGAUAGGACGAUAUACGUAUAUAGGCCGAGAUACAACUAUCUGAAAAUCG
rnacentral:lncRNA from 12 species